UUAAAAUUAGUUAAAGCUAUAACGCAGGUUUGUCAGGCCUGAAUUAUUAAAUUAUAAUAUUUUAAA
rnacentral:tRNA from 1 species